GGGAAGGUGGCUCAGUGGUAGAGUGCUUGCCUUGCAUGCAUGAGGCCCUGGGUUUGACUCCUUCCUC
rnacentral:tRNA from 1 species